AUUGAACGCUGGCGGCAUGCUUUACACAUGCAAGUCGAACGGCAGCGCGGGGCAACCUGGCGGCGAGUGGCGCACGGGUGAGUAAUACAUCGGAACGUACCCAGAAGUGGGGGAUAACGUAGCGAAAGUUACGCUAAUACCGCAUACGUUCUACGGAAGAAAGUGGGGGACCUUCGGGCCUCAUGCUUUUGGAGCGGCCGAUGUCUGAUUAGCUAGUUGGUGAGGUAAAGGCUCACCAAGGCGACGAUCAGUAGCUGGUCUGAGAGGACGACCAGCCACACUGGGACUGAGACUCGGCCCAGACUCCUACGGGAGGCAGCAGUGGGGAAUUUUGGACAAUGGGCGCAAGCCUGAUCCAGCAAUGCCGCGUGAGUGAAGAAGGCCUUCGGGUUGUAAAGCUCUUUUGUCAGGGAAGAAACGGCUGAGGAUAAUACCUUCGGCUAAUGACGGUACCUGAAGAAUAAGCACCGGCUAACUACGUG
rnacentral:rRNA from 1 species